rnacentral:tRNA from 1 species
UUAGCUCAGUUGGUAGAGCAUCUGACUUUUAAUCAGAGGGUCGCUGGUUCGAACCCAGCACGGCUCA